rnacentral:rRNA from 1 species
GACGAACGCUGGCGGCGUGCCUAAUACAUGCAAGUAGAACGCUGAAGAGGGGAGCUUGCUCUUCUUGGAUGAGUUGCGAACGGGUGAGUAACGCGUAGGUAACCUGCCUUGUAGCGGGGGAUAACUAUUGGAAACGAUAGCUAAUACCGCAUAACAAUGGAUGACACAUGUCAUUUAUUUGAAAGGGGCAAUUGCUCCACUACAAGAUGGACCUGCGUUGUAUUAGCUAGUAGGUGAGGUAAUGGCUCACCUAGGCGACGAUACAUAGCCGACCUGAGAGGGUGAUCGGCCACACUGGGACUGAGACACGGCCCAGACUCCUACGGGAGGCAGCAGUAGGGAAUCUUCGGCAAUGGGGGCAACCCUGACCGAGCAACGCCGCGUGAGUGAAGAAGAUUUUCGGAUCGUAAAGCUCUGUUGUAAGUCAAGAACGGGUGUGAGAGUGGAAAGUUCACACUGUGACGGUAGCUUACCAGAAAGGGACGGCUAACUACGUG